rnacentral:rRNA from 1 species
UGAUCCUGGCGGAGGUUACUGCUAUCGGUGUUCGCCUAAGCCAUGCGAGUCAUAUGUAGCAAUACAUGGCGUACUGCUCAGUAACACGUGGAUAACCUGCCCUUGGGACCGGCAUAACCCCGGGAAACUGGGGAUAAUUCCGGAUAACGCAUAUUUGCUGGAAUGCUUUAUGCGUCAAAAGGAUUCGUCUGCCCAAGGAUGGGUCUGCGGCCUAUCAGGUAGUAGUGGGUGUAAUGUACCUACUAGCCAGCGACGGGUACGGGUUGUGAGAGCAAGAGCCCGGAGAUGGAUUCUGAGACAUGAAUCCAGGCCCUACGGGGCGCAGCAGGCGCGAAAACUUUACAAUGCGGGAAACCGUGAUAAGGGGACACCGAGUGCCAGCAUCAUAUGCUGGCUGUCCGGAUGUGUAAAAUACAUCCGUUAGCAAGGGCCGGGCAAGACCGGUGCCAGCCGCCGCGGUAACACCGGCGGCCCGAGUGGUGAUCGUGAUUAUUGGGUCU